UUGAAUUGAUCCCUUUACCAUUAUGUAAUGGCCUUCUUUGUCUCUUUUGAUCUUUGUUGGUUUAAAGUCUGUUUUAUCAGAGACUAGGAUUGCAACCCCUGCCUUUUUUUGUUUUCCAUUUGCUUGGUAGAUCUUCCUCCAUCCUUUUAUUUUGAGCCUAUGUGUGUCUCUGCACGUGAGAUGGGUUUCCUGAAUACAGCACACUGAUGGGUCUUGACUCUUUAUCCAACUUGCCAGUCUGUGUCUUUUAAUUGGAGCAUUUAGUCCAUUUACAUUUAAAGUUAAUAUUAUGUGUGAAUUUGAUCCUGUCAUUAUGUUGUUAGCUGGUGAUUUUGCUCGUUAGUUGAUGCAGUUUCUUCCUAGUCUCGAUGGUCUUUACAUUUUGGCAUGAUUUUGCAGCAGCUGGUACCGGUCGUUCCUUUCCAUGUUUAGCGCUUCCUUCAGGAGCUCUUUUAGGGCAGGCCUGGUGGUGACAAAAUCUCUCAGCAUUUGCUUGUCUGUAAAGUAUUUUAUUUCUCCUUCACUUAUGAAGCUUAGUUUGGCUGGAUAUGAAAUUCUGGGUUGAAAAUUCUUUUCUUCAAGAAUGUUGAAUAUUGGCCCCCACUCUCUUCUGGCUUGUAGGGUUUCUGCCGAGAGAUCCGCUGUUAGUCUGAUGGGCUUCCCUUUGAGGGUAACCCGACCUUUCUCUCUGGCUGCCCUUAACAUUUUUUCCUUCAUUUCCAUUUUGGUGAAUCUGACAAUUAUGUGUCUUGGAGUUGCUCUUCUCGAGGAGUAUCUUUGUGGCGUUCUCUGUAUUUCCUGAAUCUGAAUGUUGGCCUGCCUUGCUAGAUUGGGGAAGUUCUCCUGGAUAAUAUCCUGUAGAGUGUUUUCCAACUUGGUUCCAUUCGCCCCAUCACUUUCAGGUACACCAAUCAGACGUAGAUUUGGUCUUUUCACAUAGUCCCAUAUUUCUUGGAGGCUUUGCUCAUUUCUUUUUAUUCUUUUUUCUCUAACCUUCCCUUCUCGCUUCAUUUCAUUCAUUUCAUCUUCCACUGCUGAUACCCUUUCUUCCAGUUGAUCGCAUCGGCUCCUGAGGCUUCUGCAUUCUUCACGUAGUUCUCGAGCCUUGGUUUUCAGCUCCAUCAGCUCCUUUAAGCACUUCUCUGUAUUGGUUAUUCUAGUUAUACAUUCUUCUAAAUUUUUUUCAAAGUUUUCCACUUCUUUGCCUUUGGUUUGAAUGUCCUCCCGUAGCUCAGAGUAAUUUGAUCGUCUGAAGCCUUCUUCUCUCAGCUCGUCAAAGUCAUGUGCUAGCAAUCAGCGAGAUUCCGUGGGCGUAGGACCCUCCGAGCCAGGUGUGGGAUAUAGUCUCGUGGUGCGCCGUUUUUUAAGCCGGUCUGAAAAGCGCAAUAUUCGGGUGGGAGUGACCCGAUUUUCCAGGUGCGUUAGAUGAAAAAUCUGCUCUUGCUAUAAAACUGUGUCUCUGUAAAUCUUUAGAGAUUAAAGAAUAUAAGUCAGAUUUUAAAGAAUGAUGGAUAAUUUUUAUAUAAACAUAUGUAUAUGAAAACAAUACAAUAAUAUAAUGUUACAUAUGCAACUAAUUUAUGUUAUUUAAUAUUAUAUGUAGUACAGCCACUUUGACUGGGCGGGCGUGUGCUGGGGCACCUUGCUCUGCACCCAUCGCAGCUGUUUGUGUGUCUGGGCCCAACAAGGGCCAUGGUGGAUAAGGGAUAAAUGAGACUGGAUACUCACUGCCCCAGCUCCCAGCAGAAUCGUGUGGCAGGAGGCAUGAAGCUAGAUCCUGGAAAAUGUGCUCGGAUUUCCAAGGCCU
rnacentral:lncRNA from 10 species